UAAGGAAUAUUGGUCAAUGGACGCAAGUCUGAACCAGCCAUGCCGCGUGGAGGAUUAAGGCCCUCUGGGUUGUAAACUCCUUUUAUCUGGGAAGAAAUGUACUUUUUCUUGAGUACUUGACGGUACCAGAGGAAUAAGCACCGGCUACCUCCGUGCCAGCAGCCGCGGUAAUACGGAGGGUGCAAGCGUUAUCCGGAUUCACUGGGUUUAAAGGGUGCGUAGGUGGGCAGGUAAGUCAGUGGUGAAAUCUCCGGGCUUAACUUCGGAACUGCCAUCGAUACUAUAUGUCUUGAAUAUUGUGGAGGUAGGCGGAAUAUGUCAUGUAGCGGUGAAAUGCAUAGAUAUGACAUAGAACACCGAUUACGGAGGCAGCUUGCUACGCAAAUAUUGACGCUGAGGCACGAAAGCGUGGGGA
rnacentral:rRNA from 1 species